AAUCAUCAACCCCUUUGGUUUUGCGACUGAUGCGGGUUGGACUUGGGGGUUUGCUGCUGAAAGGCGGCUCCCCUUAAAUGUUUCGGUCGGGCCUGUAGGUCGACUUUGAUUGGGCGUUGUAUUAUCCUCGCUCCUGAAAGUCUCCUCUUUUGUGCCCUUCCACGACCUGCCUAUGGAGUGGCGGUCAAACUCUUCUGAC
rnacentral:misc_RNA from 1 species